rnacentral:rRNA from 1 species
UACGUAGGGGGCAAGCGUUGUCCGGAUUUAUUGGGCGUAAAGAGCGUGUAGGCGGCCAUGUAGGUCCGUUGUGAAAACUCGAGGCUCAACCUCGAGACGCCGAUGGAAACCGUUUGGCUAGAGUCCGGGAGAGGGGGGUGGAAUUCCCAGUGUAGCGGUGAAAUGCGUAGAUAUUGGGAGGAACACCGGUGGCGAAGGCGGCCCCCUGGACCGGUACUGACGCUGAGGCGCGAAAGCGUGGGUAGCAAACGGG